UGCAGGCUAUGUUAUUUGCAUACGGGGCGGGGCGACUGGACCCGGUUGGGGCCCCGCUUGGGGUGCGAGGGUGGCAGCGGCCGCCACCGAAGUUGGUCUAAGAGCCGGCGAUGGCCCAGCUCCGGGGGUCGCAGGGUUUCAGGAUGUGAAGAGCCCCCAGGACAGCCACUGUCCAGAUCAUCAAGCCCAGAACAGCUGGCACAGGUGUGAUCUUCAGCCACCAGGACCACAGCCUGCAGGACACACCUCCUGAGGGCCACCUCUGGGACUCCUGUAGGAAGAGGGUGACAAGUUUCGAUGCUUCAGUGAGGGAGUCUGUACCUAUGGAUCUCUUUGUGGGUUCCAGGGAAAGGCCUCUCCCAAAGGCACUGCAGCUGGAUAUUUUCAAGUUCAUCUGAAAAUGGAAAAGAAACAUAUCCAGGAAAGCUACAGGCUACAAGGCCAGGACACCCGCAGCAGGUCCAGUCCCUUCUCUUAAAAGGAGGGCUCUAUGGCACUUGCCGGCUAGAGUCAGAUCACUGGAGAAGGAGAAGCAGGCUUAGUCCAGACCUCUCUAGACUAACAUUGUCCUCUGAAGGGACCGUGUCUUGUCACCACAGUGGUAUCUAACUAGGCAAGCUCUGCAGGUGAGGGGAUGUGUGUGGUCUCUUGGUAGAGACUGCAAAGCUGAUGCCUUGCUGGACAGCCACUUACUGAGGGUGACCCUCUGAAUUAGGGUUCUCAUUUCCACUUCUGUACUGGGGAUAAUCAAAAACAGAGUAGGAAAGGCCCCAGCACAGACUGGUCCUGCCAUCUGGUUGGCCUGUCCAGGCAGGGAGAGUGGUCAUAACUCUCUACCCCACACUGACACCUGCUGGGGUCUUGACUGCAUCACCCAAGUAGGGCGGCCCACUUGGCCAGGUCCUGCCUUGCCAGGGACCAGACAUUUGUGGGCAGCUUGUCCCUUCUUUACUUCAGCACAAGUCACACCAUUGUCUCCAAAGCUGAAAAUUCAAAAGUAAACUUUUCAUUAACUCAGA